rnacentral:rRNA from 1 species
CCCUUAGAUGUCCGGGGCCGCACGCGCGCUACACUGAAGGAAUCAGCGUGGCUCUGUCCCUGGUCCGAAAGGAUUGGGAAACCCGUUGAAUCUCCUUCGUGAUAGGGAUUGGGGCUUGGAACUGUUCCCCAUGAACGAGGAAUUCCCAGUAAGCGCGAGUCAUAAGCUCGCGUUGAUUACGUCCCUGCCCUUUGUACACACCGCCCGUCGCACCUACCGAUUGAAUGGUCCGGUGAAAUCUCCGGACUGGCGUGAGUCGGAGCAAUCUGACAAACGCCGGAAAGUUGAUUAAACCUUACCAUUUAGAGGAAGGUGAAGUCGUAACA